rnacentral:rRNA from 1 species
ACCGGCAGCUCAAGUGGUGGCCAUUUUUAUUGGGCCUAAAGCGUUCGUAGCCGGUUUGAUAAGUCUCUGGUGAAAUCCCGCAGCUUAACUGUGGGACUUGCUGGAGAAACUAUUAGACUUGAGGUCGGGAGAGGUUAGGGGAAUUCCCAGGGUAGUGGUGAAAUCCAAAAUGAGCCGGAAGUUCAGGAGUAGAGAAGGCGCAAAGACGGAACUAUCCUGACGGUGCGUAAUGCAAGUUAGGAAGCUGGGUCG